rnacentral:lncRNA from 1 species
CGUCUCCCUACGUUACACAGCCCCGACUUCAAGGGGAAGUUGUUUUCUCUUUCAUUUUCACGCAGGGCUAUGGCACCAAAAAGGAGCACUAGGGCAGCAGCGGGUAUUGAGAAGGAGUUGCCGGCUAGAACUACGAGGCCGCCCAGGAGCAAGGCAACAGCUGAGCCUGAGCCUAGAAGAAAAGCACCUAGUAAGGCGCCCGUGCGCAAGGCAGCUCCAAGACGCGCGGGUAAGCAGGACGAGGGCGCGCUGGAAGGGAUUUCCCAGAAUCUUGCUCGCUUGGUGGAUAGAAUGGGAAAACUGGAAUCUAGAGUUUAUCAGAGGUCCGACAGGGCAUCAGUAUCCCCGCAACGGGAUGCAACAAGGGGCAGGAGACGCACGAGGGACAGGGACGUCUCCAGGACCCCCUCAGCUAGUCCAGUAUCCAGUGGUGACGACUCCACAGCGGCCACCGAGCGGACCGAACGGAGUGGCGGCAGUGCUCGCAAGAGGUCGCGCAGGUCUUCCAGACGUUGUUGCCAGACUGCUACCGACAGCGACUCAACGGAGAGGGUAGUGGCCACGUCCUUUCCUGACCGGGCGUGGCAUCUUGCAAAUCAUCAAAAAACGGUCGUCAAGGCUAGGAGGAUGGCAGGGGAGGCAGCAGCCAUUGCAUAUGAUGAGGCCUUUAGAAAAAGAGCGUCCCAGAGCGCCAGGGUGAGAUGGGACCUCACUAAUCACGACAUAUGGCUUACUGAGGUCGGCCCCAGCAUAAAAAGCAAGGCAGAGACGGGCAGGUCAGACCGCGGCUGGGGCAGAAGAGACAGCAGACGGGCCGUGUGCUGGGAGUUCAACCUGGGAAAAUGCCAACGGGCACGCUGCCGCUUCGAUCACCUGUGUGAAUACUGCUCAGGAAACCACACCAAGAUGAGUUGCGGGAAGUCCAGUGGCAACGGGCAGCCCUUUCGGUCAGGCCGGGCUGGUGGUCAGCCCGGUUUCAAAAAAGAAAGCG